rnacentral:tRNA from 1 species
GACGCGGUGGUCUAAUAGUUAGCGCGUUGGACUCUGGAUCGAGUGGUCCGGGUUCAAGCGCUGGCCGGGUCA